UCUAAUAUGGCAGAUAAGUGCAGUGGAUUUAAGCUUCACAUAUAAAGUUUAUUAACUUUUAUUAGA
rnacentral:tRNA from 1 species